rnacentral:lncRNA from 1 species
UGGAUACAAAGAAAUUGAGCCGUGACGGUGAGUAUCAAUAUCUUUUCCUAGAAACAGUUGUAUGUGUAUUUUAUUUGAAAAUGAAAUCCGAAAAAUCAAAAAGAAAAAGCCGACUAAAAGAAAAAAUCUACGAUGGAGUUGCAACCCACUCGCAAAAAAAAAGAGGAUAAACAAGAAAAAGAUUCAUCACUACAUUGACAAUAAAGUGACGAGAUCUGCCGCUAACAACAACUUUGAAACCAAAAAUAAAAGAAGAGAUCACCAAUCGGCAAAACAAACAAGAAAAGAUAAAAAUUCAUCUUACUAAUUAAUUAGUUAAUAUAGGAUGUCUUUUAAUUAGAUUUUUUUAAAAUUUAUAUUUAGAAAUAUGAAUAUUACAGUAUUACAAUUAAAUUUAAUAAAAAAUAAUUAAAAGGUUCCUUUUUUUAUUUACAUAGUAAAAAUCAAACGUGUUCAACGUGCAUCGCACGUUCUUCCUGCUAGUGCUUAAAAACAUGCAAUAGGAGAGUAAUUAUUUUGAGUUUGUUUACUAUAUAUAUUUUUACAGCGACUCGAUCUUAGCUUUUUUUUUUAUUAAUUCUUUUUUGCGUUGAUACAGAUUAUCUCGAGGGAAGGGAAGGUUGUGUAAUUCAGUGAAGCAGGCGAUCUAGUGAAGAAGGAAUAAGUGAGUAUCCAUUUUCCCCAUGAUAACUUGCUCAAGCUCAACCUCUUUUCAUUAAUUUUUUUGUAAUUCCAUAUCUAUUCUUUGUUUAAACUUUAUUUGAUAGGAUUAUUAUAUCAAGGGUUGAAGAAGAUGCAUGUUUGGAUACCAAUUUGUUUCACAAUUGAUAUGAUUCUCAAAGACUCAAAUUAACUUUAUUAAUCAUUGUGUCUAAACUAAGGAUUCACAUCAUUAUUUAUGCCCAUAGACACAAAAGUGGUAUUACUUAAUGCUAAAAUGUGAAAUUCACAACCAAGCUUAUGUAAGGAGAUCAAAUCAUUUAGCUCACUCGCCAUUUCCUAUUUUAUGUUAAUUUUAUGUUAUAACAAGUUGUAGUGUUUACCAGCUCUAAGGUUGCAAUUGCGAAUUAGGAAACACAAAACAAAACAAAACAAAACAAAUACCAAACAUCUUCCAUAUUCCAUUUUGAACAUUACUUUUUAUAAGGCUCGUUUGUUUGAUAGUAUGAGAUAAGACUUGAUAUAUUUGAAUGAAAUGUCUUAUAUUGUACUCCCUCUCCUUGAAACAUCUUUUAUUUCCAUUUUCGUUCGUCCUCGAAGCAUCUACCUAGUCCACUUUUGUACAUAAUUCCACUAAUUAUUAUUCUUUCAAUUUUCACAUAUUUACACUAAUUGCCACAAAUCAACCCACCACUUUUCAUUUUAAUUGGUCUAUUGGUCACUAUUAUCACUUUUUAUAUAUCACUUUUUUUAAUAUAUGAGAUCUAUUUUCUACUCAUCAAAUAAACAGCCAACUUUUAUUAAAACUCGUGUUGCCUCCCAUUCGAAAGAUGUUUUAGGGCAAGAGAGUGUAUGGUAUUAAUAUUAUGUUUGAUUAAAUAUAUUACAUCAUCUGUUUUAUAAAUCUAUAUAAUAUAAAAAAUGGAGUUUUCCCCCCGCUUUUUCUUUCUCCUCUCCCAUCAAUUUUUUUAGGGAUAUUUUCGGUAAAAUACACGAACUUUCAGCAAAUUCUGAUUUUUCCCAUAAUCUUUAAAAUUUGAAAAGAAAUACACAAUCUUUCGAUUUUUUUUGAAUUUUCCUACUCGUAUAAAAUACUCCCAAAUUGAAGCUGUUUUUUUAGGGCUUUCACUUAGAUUUGUUGAUACCUAAGCUGAUGCAUCAACUUUAUUAUGCCACAUUUAUUAUCCGUCAUGCUUAGGUAUCAAAAAAUCUAAGUCAAAAGCCCUAAAAUCAACUUCUAUUUGGUGUAUAUCAUACCCGUGGGAAAAAACAGAAAAAAUUGAAAGGUGGUACUCCCUCCGUCCCACUAAAAGUGGCUUGUAUUUCAUUUUGGGCCGUCCCACUAUAAGUGGCUUAUUUCCGUAAAUGGAAAAAUUUAACCCUUAAAAAGGUGUAGGCACUACCACUUUUAACCAAUUUACACCUUCUCCUUGUAGCAAGAAUUAGUUUUUGUUGGAUUUGAAGUAUUGGAGGCUCUUCAACGUUUCCACAAUAAUCCCAUGAUCAAGGGUACUGCAAAAGCAUGUGUCAGCAAUGAAGUCAAGAAUGCUGUUGUGGAAUCUUCAGAAAUGGCUUCAAAAUAUUUGCUAAUAAACUGGGAUUUUGUUGGGGAGAUGUCUAAAAUCAUAUACAAAUAGAAACGAUGAAAAUCUAAAUUAUAUUGUUCUGGGAAAAGAGGUAAUAUGAAGUUUAGUUUAAUCCCUUAGUUCUUGGCUGAUUUGUUGUCUAAUUUUCAGGUGGAUUUAGAGGGGCAUUUUGAGUAUCUGUCAAGCUCUUAUUGAGCUUUGUUAUAGAUUUUCUAAUAGAAUCAAAUAAAUUUCAAGAUGACAUGAGGAUAUAUGAGAUCCAUGCCAAUCUCUCAUGCAUGUGUCUAUUGUUCUGUUUUUAUGAUUUUUUCUUCAAAAAGCUAUUAAUUUUAUUUCAUUAUAUCCAGCCUCCAGCCUUAUUGCAGUUUGUUUAUUGUUAGUUACAUCCCAUCAAACUUGAACUAUCUGUUAUUGUUUUAACUCCAAACAUUACUGCCCUUGAGUGAGUAUGAUUUUAAAGCCAUGGCAGAGAUAGGGGAGCUUCUGAGGAGCAUGGAGGCGAGGCAGCCUCAAUUAGUGGCGCUAACGAGCUUGCUCGUGGCGAAGAACGACGACAGCGUAGUUGUUGACUCUGAA